rnacentral:lncRNA from 1 species
ACACCUGUAAAAUGAACAUAAUGUCCUUGAACUACAUUUUCCCCAGGUUAUGAAGAUGAAAAUGACACAUGGGACAACAUGGUACGGGAGCCAGAGACCAGUUUAGGAGCCAAGAAUAAGAAAUGGACAGAACACUGCCCUCUUGGAUUCAGAAUACCCUUCGGAGGGCUACUUUUUCCCAUUGCCACUUGUACUGGCAGGCAGGCAUCCCCAGAGAGUGGCUGAGGAGCUGGCGUUUUUUCUUGGGCUUUUGUCUAACUACAAAUCUGUAAUCUCUACUCUCUUAAAAGGUUGCUCUAAGGUUUCCAGGCUUAUUGAGAAAUUCCCCAUCAAGCAGCUGAGUGGUCUACUGUCCCUCCUGUUAAGAUUUUGUUUUUCUAUGAAGGGAUGGAUAAUCUCUCUUAUCCCUGGGGCUUCUCUGGCUAGAAAGCUGCCUUUGGCUUCUCCUUAUGUAGUGCUACUAAAGGUUUCAGGUAUGUUUACCCAUGUUCCUGCUGACUUUUCUGGUGGGAUG